AAAAAAAAUGGGCGAAACGCCCAUCAUCUUAUUGCCGGUGGUCGCACCUGAGCCGUUCGCAAAAACCAGACUCCCGACCGCACGCCCAGCGACUUCGUGAUUGUAGCCAUUU
rnacentral:sRNA from 1 species